rnacentral:misc_RNA from 1 species
GAGUUGUUCUUACAAGGACACUGAAGAAGCUGCCUAAAAGGAAGUGUUGGUUUGUUGGCUACUCAGAGAGUGAUGCAAUGGAUGCAGCAAAGAGAUUCAAUGAAGGAUGGGAUUCUGACUUGACGAUUAACCAUCACGACUGUCGAAACUAUGUAAAUGGUAAUUCUCUUUAGACUUCAGUAAAGAAAUGCAAACUGGGUAUAUGUUCCUUUGGUCGUCACCAAAUUGGAAAGAAAUACCAUUACUUUUAGCCAGAUAAAUGUAAAUAUUCUUAAUUGUUUAGGUCUUUAGGGUAAUUAUUUACAGUGCAUGUCAUUGAGUUACAUAGAAAAUAGUUGAGAACGGUCUAG